CCUACGGGAGGCUGCAGUAGGGAAUUUUGCGCAAUGGGCGAAAGCCUGACGCAGCAACGCCGCGUGAUCGAGACGCCCUUCGGGGUGUAACGAUCUGUCAGUGGGGACGAAACUUGACGGUACCCACAGAGGACGCACCGGCUAACUCCGUGCCAGCAGCCGCGGUGAUACGGGGGGUGCAAGCGUUGUCCGGACUCCUUGGGCGUAAAGAGUUCGUAGGCUGCACGUCAAGUCUGGUGUUAAAGGCAGAGGCUCAACUUCUGUACGGCACUGGAUACUUGCGAGCUAGAAUGCGGUAGUGGUAAAGGGAAUUCCUGGUGGAGCGGUGAAAUGCUUAGAUAUCAGGAGGAACAUCGGUGGCGUAAGCGCUUUACUGGGCCGUAAUGGACGCGGAGGAACGAAAGCCAGGGUAGCAAAUGGGAUGAGAGACCCCAGUAGUC
rnacentral:rRNA from 1 species